rnacentral:tRNA from 1 species
GGUGGUACAGCUCAGUAGUAGAGCAUUCGACUGCAGAUCGAGACUUCCGUAGUUCAAAUCCGCGUGCUCCCU